UACGGAGGGUGCGAGCGUUGUCCGGAAUCAUUGGGCGUAAAGGGCGCGUAGGUGGCGGCUUAAGCGUGCGGUGAAAGCUCGGGGCUCAACCCCGAGUCGGCCGUGCGAACUGAGUCGCUUGAGCACUGUAGAGGCAGGCGGAAUUCCGGGUGUAGAGGUGAAAUUCGUAGAUAUUCGGAAGAACACCAGUGGCGAAGGCGACACACUGGCCCGUUACUGACGCUGAGGCGCGAAAGCGUGGGGAGCAAACAGG
rnacentral:rRNA from 1 species